rnacentral:rRNA from 1 species
GAUGAACGCUGGCGGCGUGCCUAAUACAUGCAAGUCGAGCGAACAGACGAGGAGCUUGCUCCUCUGACGUUAGCGGCGGACGGGCGAGUAACACGUGGAUAACCUACCUAUAAGACUGGGAUAACUUCGGGAAACCGGAGCUAAUACCGGAUAAUAUAUUGAACCGCAUGGUUCAAUAGUGAAAGACGGUUUUGCUGUCACUUAUAGAUGGAUCCGCGCCGCAUUAGCUAGUUGGUAAGGUAACGGCUUACCAAGGCAACGAUGCGUAGCCGACCUGAGAGGGUGAUCGGCCACACUGGAACUGAGACACGGUCCAGACUCCUACGGGAGGCAGCAGUAGGGAAUCUUCCGCAAUGGGCGAAAGCCUGACGGAGCAACGCCGCGUGAGUGAAGAAGGUCUUCGGACCGUAAAACUCUGUUAUUAGGGAAGAACAAAUGUGUAAGUAACUAUGCACGUCUUGACGGUACCUAAUCAGAAAGCCACGGCUAACUACGUG